UGCGUAGGUGGCGAGGUAAGUCGGAUGUGAAAGCUCGGAGCUCAACUCCGAAAUGGCAUUGGAAACUACCUUGCUCGAGGGUUGGAGGGGGGACUGGAAUACUUGGUGUAGCAGUGAAAUGCGUAGAUAUCAAGUGGAACACCAGUGGCGAAGGCGAGUCCCUGGACAACUCCUGACACUGAGGCACGAAAGCUAGGGAGCAAACA
rnacentral:rRNA from 1 species